GACGAACGCUGGCGGCGUGCCUAAUACAUGCAAGUAGAACGCACAGUUUAUACCGUAGCUUGCUACACCAUAGACUGUGAGUUGCGAACGGGUGAGUAACGCGUAGGUAACCUGCCUGGUAGCGGGGGAUAACUAUUGGAAACGAUAGCUAAUACCGCAUAAUAUUAAUUAUUGCAUGAUAAUUGAUUGAAAGGUGCAAAUGCAUCACUACCAGAUGGACCUGCGUUGUAUUAGCUAGUAGGUGAGGUAACGGCUCACCUAGGCGACGAUACAUAGCCGACCUGAGAGGGUGAUCGGCCACACUGGGACUGAGACACGGCCCAGACUCCUACGGGAGGCAGCAGUAGGGAAUCUUCGGCAAUGGACGAAAGUCUGACCGAGCAACGCCGCGUGAGUGAAGAAGGUUUUCGGAUCGUAAAGCUCUGUUGUAAGAGAAGAACGGGUGUGAGAGUGGAAAGUUCACACUGUGACGGUAUCUACCA
rnacentral:rRNA from 1 species